UACGGAGGGUGCAAGCGUUAUCCGGAUUUACUGGGUUUAAAGGGUGCGUAGGUGGGCGAGAAAGUCAGUGGUGAAAUCUCCGGGCUUAACCCGGAAACUGCCAUUGAUACUAUUUGUCUUGAAUUCGGUCGAGGUUGGCGGAAUGUGUCGUGUAGCGGUGAAAUGCAUAGAUACAAUCAAGAACUCCGAUUGCGUAGGCAGCUAACUAGGCUGUAACUGACGCUGGAGGCACGAAAGCGUGGGGAGCGAACAGGA
rnacentral:rRNA from 1 species